rnacentral:RNase_P_RNA from 1 species
CGAGUGGAUUGAGCAGUUGCGGGUAUAAGCCGAAAGGCUGUAUCCGAGGAAAGUCCGAGCUCCAUAGAGCAAGAAUAACGGCUAACGGCCGCCGGGGGCGACCCUAGGGAUAGUGCAACAGAGAUAUACCGCCUGAUUUUUUCAGGUAAGGGUGGAAAGGCGAGGUAAGAGCUCACCGGAGUCGGGGAGACCCGAUUGCCCUGUAAACCCUAUUCGGAGCAACACCGUGGUAAGACAUAAUGCGUCUGCUCGGCGCGUCUUUUGGAGGUGGCAUUGAGCAGUGGUGGUAACAUCCUGCCAAGAUAGAUGACUGCUUACAACAGAACUCGGCUUAUAGAUUCACUCACAUA